rnacentral:rRNA from 1 species
UACGGGGGGGGCAAGCGUUGUUCGGAAUUACUGGGCGUAAAGGGCUCGUAGGCGGCCAACUAAGUCAGACGUGAAAUCCCUCGGCUUAACCGGGGGAACUGCAUCUGAUACUGGAUGGCUUGAGUUCGGGAGAGGGAUGCGGAAUUCCAGGUGUAGCGGUGAAAUGCGUAGAUAAUCUGGAGGAACACCGGUGGCGAAGGCGGCAUCCUGGACCGACACUGACGCUGAGG